rnacentral:rRNA from 1 species
GGAAUCUUGCGCAAUGGGCGAAAGCCUGACGCAGCAACGCCGCGUGCGGGAAGAAGGCUUUCGGGCUGUAAGCCGCUUUCAGCAGGAACGAAAAUGACGGUACCUGCAGAAGAAGGAGCGGCCAACUAUGUGCCAGCAGCCGCGGUGAUACAUAGGCUUCAAGCGUUGUCCGGAUUUAUUGGGCGUAAAGAGUUCGUAGGCGGUCGAGUAAGUCGGGUGUGAAAAUUCUGGGCUCAACCCAGAAACGCCACCCGAUACUGCUUAACUUGAGUUCGAUAGGGGAGUGGGGAAUUCCUAGUGUAGCGGUGAAAUGCGCAGAUAUUAGGAGGAACACCGGUGGCGAAGGCGCCACUCUGGAUCGAUACUGACGCUGAGGAACGAAAGCAUGGGUAGCAAACAGGAUUAGAUACCCUGGUAGUCCAUGCCGUAAACGGUGGGCACUAGGUGUGGGAUUCUAUUAACGAAUUCCGCGCCGUCGCUAACGCAUUAAGUGCCCCGCCUGGGGAGUACGGUCGCAAGACUAAAACUCAAAGGAAUUGACGG